rnacentral:rRNA from 1 species
CCUACGGGUGGCAGCAGUGGGGAAUAUUGGGCAAUGGGCGCAAGCCUGACCCAGCAACGCCGCGUGAAGGAAGAAGGCUUUCGGGUUGUAAACUUCUUUUCUCAGGGACGAAGCAAGUGACGGUACCUGAGGAAUAAGCCACGGCUAACUACGUGCCAGCAGCAGCGGUAAUACGUAGGUGGCAAGCGUUAUCCGGAUUUACUGGGGUUACGGGGCGUGUAGGCGGGACUGCAAGUCAGAUGUGAAAACCACGGGCGCAACCUGUGGCCUGCAUUUGAAACUGUAGUUCUUGAGUACUGGAGAGGCAGACGGAAUGCCUAGUGUAGCGGUGAAAUGCGUAGAUAUUAGGAGGAACACCAGUGGCGAAGGCGGUCUGCUGGACAGCAACUGACGCUGAGGCGCGAAAGCGUGGGGAGCAAACAGGAUUAGAUACCCUAGUAGUC